AAUCAGCCUUUAGCAUAGGUGGUUCUAUACUCGACCAAUUUCGAAGUUCUCUAUCUCCAGCAACAGUUCAAGCACUUAUUUGUUGUCAAAAUUGGUUACAUCAUGGUCCAAUUCCAACUGAUAAUACAACCUUGAUGAAUGAUUUUGAAACCUACGAAAACCUUAAAUCAGAAUUUGGUGGAAAGUUGCAUUUAGCAACGGAUGAUAAUUAGUUCACAAAUUGUGAUGCAUUUAUUGAAAACGUAUGGAAUCAAAGUGCACUGCUCUUAAAGUACUUUUUUAUUGAGAUGAUGUGCACAUGAAGAUUUAUUUUUUGUGGCUUGAAGUGUUUUAUGAUAAUGUUAUUUGUUGUUUUUUCAUUAAGUUCUUUGAAGGCAAUGGUUUGUAAUUUGAAUUUUAACUUAUUUGUGUGUGGUUGUGAGUGU